AAUUACAAGUAUUAUCAGCUGCACUUGAGAUUGCUGAAGCAGAGAGUAUUGAUCUAGAUUCAAAAUUUCGUGCCCUGGUUGCUAUUGGAUCAUUGAUUCUUAAUUAUGCGGAAGUGAAUUCCACAAGUUGCUCAAGGUUC